UCUUCCUUCCAUUGACCUUGCUUCUUUGGCCCCUGACUCAGGUCUUUCCUAGGGUUAACCUUUCACUCCAGUUUCAUGGCUGACCACCUCGAGAUGGCUGUCUGGAUUCAGAUUUGCUGCGUGGCCACUACAAACCUGUCAGCUCCUGCUCCAGACUAAUAGGAGUGAUCUGAUCACUGGAGCAAGCCUGACUUCCACCCUCCCUUUCUACAUUUUCUUUUGGCCUCAGCCAUGCAUAUUGAAUCUGGCUGAGAUUGAAAUAGGACACUGAGAGUUUACUGAGUAGUGUCAGAGCAGAGAUAGAAAACCAAGUGAUCCUUCAGGGUUGCAUCAUGGAGCUGCUCAUUAACAACUGGAAUGAACAAUGAUGGUUGGAUGAACUCAGCAGGUGGAAAGCUCCAUCAGGGUGACAAGAUGUCAGCUCUCCCUGGACAACUCAGCAUCACCUCUGUUCUUGAGAACAAAGGAGAGUCCUUUGAACCCUAACAUCAUACUCAGUCUUACCCUAGUCUGUUGAAUCAAGGAUGUGCCAGAUAACAAAGAGACGAUGGAUAAUCCUGGAGUAACUAAGAAUACUGAUUGAGGACUCCCAUUGAUGAGACAGAGAUUCCAAGUUAGCAUGCAUAGGGUAUAGUUACAUGAGCUGACAUCCCAUUCAAUGUGAAAUUGGGGAUGGACUGAGAAGCAACUUCUCAAAGUCAUAAGGCCACUCCAUAUCUGUUGGCAGCCGUUAACUCUUGCAAAUGACCCAUAUGGCUUCAAACUAGACAGAGGCCAGAGAACCAGUCACCAGUCACCUCAAAAAUGUUGAGAAAUAGGUCAAAGGCUGGUGUAUCUCAGUAGUAUCUUGUUUAGCAUGCUCAUGUUCUGGGAUUGAUACCUGCUACCACAUACAUAGGAAAAAAUGGCUAUAACCUAAACCUAUAAAACUACCUCCAUCUUUAAGCUAAGUCAACAAACUCAUGCAGACACUAAGGCUGGCUGGUGCUAGGGUCAAUGAGCCAUCUAAACACUGACCCAUGAGCCACGUUCCUCACUUUAUCCCAGCUGGCUUCAUUGAAAUUCUAUUAAGUCAGUUUGUCUAGUCUCCUCCUAACCCUUAAUGCUUUUCUUUCUAUAGUUUUCAAUCCUUUAAAAUACACCCUGAUGCUUGAUUAUUAAUUCUCAAUUUCCUUGUUGCUACCUGCACCUGUUUCCAUGGUCCAGAAUAAAGUCUGUAUUACCAAUUUCUCUAUUGUGGAGCAUAUCCUCAUCAGCAGGCAGUUCUUCUAAUAGAGAUUGGAAAGGGAUGUAGAUGCAUGUGGCUGCUCAAGUAGAGAGAAGCACGGAGUCUAUCCCUUAUACCAUGGCCAAGCAGGUGUAGGGCUAAAGUUCUAUCAGCAUGUAAGUAACCAAGCUGCCACCUAGGAUCCAACCACCUAAAAGAUCAUUUCAAGCUCUCAUGUUUCUUCUGCUCAACUCCAAGCUCUGAAGAGUUGAAGUGUCAAGCUAGAAAAAAAAAAAAAAUUUACUGUGUAAGUUGAAAAACCAGAUCCUAAGGUUCACUGGCAUUUAUAUCAACAUUAUGAAUUAAUGUUAUUAGGACUUUUAAAAGCAUAAUUCAAAAACAACUGGUCAGAAUUAAUGUCUACCCUAUGGAAAAAAUAAGGUGUACAAAUCUAAGGCUGGGUGGGAUCAGGCAUCAGGUUCCCUUGAAGUCUCUACUGUUUCCAUAGUGAAGCUCUUUACAGUGACCCUCUGUUAUGUGAUUUCUACUUUUUUGACUUUUGCAGGGAGGCCCAC
ensembl:lincRNA